GAUGAACGCUGGCGGCGUGCCUAAUACAUGCAAGUCGAGCGAACGGACGAGAAGCUUGCUUCUCUGAUGUUAGCGGCGGACGGGUGAGUAACACGUGGAUAACCUACCUAUAAGACUGGGAUAACUUCGGGAAACCGUAGCGAAUACCGGAUAAUAUUUUGAACCGCAUGGUUCACAAGUGAAAGACGGUCUUGCUGUCACUUAUAGAUGGAUCCGCGCUGCAUUAGCUAGUUGGUAAGGUAACGGCUUACCAAGGCAACGAUGCAUAGCCGACCUGAGAGGGUGAUCGGCCACCCUGGAACUGAGACACGGUCCAGACUCCUACGGGAGGCAGCAGUAGGGAAUCUUCCGCAAUGGGCGAAAGCAUGACGGAGCAACGCCGCGUGAGUGAUGAAGGUCUUCGGAUCGUAAAACUCUGUUAUUAGGGAAGAACAUAUGUGUAAGUAACUGUGCACAUCUUGACGGUACCUAAUCAGAAAGCCACGGCUAACUACGUG
rnacentral:rRNA from 1 species